ACGAUUCAUCAUACAGUGUAUGUAGAGACGUACACGUAUGCCGGUUGUAAAUACUUGAGUAUCCGUGGGCACUGGCGAGUAGAGCCGUGUGGCAAGACACUGAUUGAAUUGAAGUAAUAUCAGGAGCAGUGAGUAAUGGUCGUUGAGGAUUCAAAUGUGGCCCUGUCAGUGAUUUGUGUGUGUGUACGGAUCAGAUAGUGUGUAGUCAUGCCAGAUUCCUAAUUCUCCGGAGAAUAUAUAUAUUGACGUAAAACCUGCAGUUAUACCAAGUUCAAGUGGACACUGGAUCUCCUUGAGUAUCGUGUCAAUAAGAUCCCUGCCGGACGUAUAGGAUCUGCCCGGGUGGUCCAGAAGUCCCAGGCACAUAGGGCCCAAGAGAGGAGCCACCAGCCGUAGAAGCAAGCGCCCCUUUAUCUGCCUGACGCGUAAGACAAUGUGGCCCUCCGCAUCUGAUUGAUACGCGAUACUAUCCACCUAUCAUAACACCAUGCCACCAGCUAUACCCAGUGCUCAGAUUAAAUGUAUACAAAAAAUACUAAGCAUCGAAUCCGGCUAUGAAGGGAGAAAUAAAAUAUGUUAAUUCUUCAAGUUUAACGAUUCUUUUCAAGUCAUUGAAUCCAUCUACGAUAAGGAACACCCGGUAGAUCAACCGAGUCGGUACUCACCGUCAACCGGUCCAAUGAUAUCUCUGAUGUCUCGGCGAUGAUUUAUUCGACGUAAGAUGGCUGACUUGGGUUACCCAUGAGCCAGGGCGUAAGUACUCUAAACAGAAGCUAUUGUGAACGUCCGCACGAGAUGGACAUACCCCACGCAAGCCUGGAUCUCGAAUGGCGAAGCGGUGAAGUGGCUGUCCGUGCAAGAGCAUACGAGACUCUGCGUUUGAUUAUCAGUCCCGGAUUAGUGGUUACUUAUUGUAACCUUUGACAUGCGAGCACUCGGAUAAAAUGUCUGAACGAUCAACGAUAAGAUUUUGAACAUAACUCAUCGGUCUUAAGUCUUCCGUCUCCUAAGUUCCUCGUAGACAAAUGUAGAUAUUUGCUGCUCCUAUCCAGAGUCAGAUCGUAUCCCAAGAACGAUCAUAGUCAAUUGAUCUGGAGUCUAAGGCAUUCUUAAGAUAAAUACUUUACUCUCUACAGAAUUCAUGUGACCUAUAGUGUACGAUGAUGUUUAUUUAUAUCAAUAGCUUUAUUAUGCAUAUGACGAGAACCACCAGAUAAUUGAAGAAGACCCAUGCAGGAAGAGGAAUCAGUGAGUCGUUCCGGAAGUCGCAGUAUGGCCGUGGAUACGCCCCAAACAAUACAGAAUAAUUAACCAUUGGCAGACCUCAAAUUUCUAUCGUGCAGACAUCUGAGCGGGUAUGGAUAAUGAUAUGUGUGUAUUUACCAUGGCGAAGUCUCGGGUCAUCCGUGAUUACAUGGUAUCGGUAUCGUACAAUGCGAAGGGAUUCCCAGUGGUUCCCUUAACCACCUCCGCGAGCGUCGAGACGUCCAGCAUCCGUCCGGCCACGAAGGGUGUGUCCCGGUAUGGAUGAAUGGUUGGCUAUCUUAUUGAGCUAUCAAUGCUCUGACUUAACCCUUUGCCUUGGCCAACACAAUCCCCCUGGCGAACCUUUGAUCUUUACCGACACCGCGCCGGUAACUAUAUGUUGCAUUAUGACUUCACUGCACUUAUUAUUGCUCGCUACACUACUGUUACUCGCAGUGGUUCUCAGAUCGAUGCCAAUUCUAUAAAUUUUUUUGUAAUUGCAAUUUCCACCAGAUACAAAGUUGCCUCUAGAAGCCCUAAGCGUGAAGAAACCACCAAAGACCAUCAACUGCUCUCCCAAUGCUCACCAGCCCUCGUAAACCAUCACCGUGUACCACCGCAAGAGCAAUCGAGAAGAAGAACCGACAGAGUGAAAAUGGAGGAGAGUCGCAAAAGGCGAAGCCAUAAACAGAACCAAUAAAAUAUUAUAUACGCGUAAAGGGCUCACGGACAAACGGGCAUAUAGUGUGGCCCGUCCAAGAGCGGGAGGGGCGAAAAGGGCGUGAGGGUGAGAGGGUAUAAUAACAGCUGCAACGUAUAAUUGCCUGAACGAUUGAAUUUCUAUAUUACCGCGAAGUAAGAGCCGUAAGACGUAUGGCCCUUGAAAAUCGUUUCUACGCGCUGCGACUGUUAGCCCUCGUUGCAACAAGAUGACUGCGACUCGUUUAUAAGUAUCUCGAUAGAGAUUUAGUAGGUGGUACCAGGUCCGUUGAAUUAGUUGGGAUCGUUCAGCGCUGUUGUUUUGGACCAAGUUGCCAUCGAAAUACGAAUGAACGCGAUGCGCGCCAUAACGUCACGGUGGAUUCGAGCCAAACGUUACGAGACGGCCGGCAAUGAGUUACCGGGCGGAGACUAUAACUCGCCCAGUGAUAUACGACUGUAUCUCGGUACCAUUUGGCAGACGUAGAUAUAUUAUACGCAUUCCGCCUCGACGUGAAUUUAUUUAUUCUAUAAUUAUCGCGUACAAUUGGUAAUGCGUUCCGUGCGCGUCAGAGGGUUACCGCUCACUCGGUGCCCAUUUUCGGAAGCUACGAAAACCCGAAAGCUCUUCUCUCAUAUAUAUACAUCCUUUUUCCCAUCUCCGUUCAUUUCAUAUACAAGCGGCCCCCCGUCUACCCUCCCUUUUGUAUCACGAGAAAGCACGAAAAGCUGCCUACGUCAAUAUCCGGCACUCGAAGAUCAGGUCCGGUUACGUCGAGGGUAUUAUUUGCAAUGCUUUUCAGGGCAUUAAUAUUACCAGUAUUACGCCAUUAGCACGUCUGAGUUACGGUACGUACAGUCAAGGCACGCUUCUCUCGUCUUGUACGAGCCUGGACCGACCUUCGAAACCUUCAUGCAAAUAGAUAUGUAAGCUUACAGUGUAAUCCUGCAUCCUUCAAGAGGACCGCUGUCCAGAGGACGAAGAAGCUUAUUCCACAAGAGCAAGGUGAAAGGUGCAGCUAGGUUGAUCUUGGUAGCACUGGAACAUUCGAGGCUAGCCCUAAGGCUACGUAACCAAGUGCCUGGCAGAAGGGUUACGGAAGGCUGAAGAACCAGGAGAAGUGAGGUUUGAAGGAGUAAUGGCAUGGGGGGUAUGACCAAUCAAUUACUAGUAGUGCAGCGGCCCCACACACAGCACCAAUAUUACCGGGACCAUUACCUUUCGCCUGCUACACCUUCCCGGCCAUAGAGGCCGGAUGCUCGCUUACAAAUUCUCCCCUUGAGAUGAACAGGUGAAGCAUCCAGGCUGGAUUUUGCAAGGAUGUUUUGUAAAUGCUUAACCGGGGAUCGCCAACGUCGUUUCGCCCCAGGCACGUCCGAUGCGUCCCAGGCUGCAACGGGAACGGCGAACCGAAGCUAUCGAACGGAACACGAAGACGCUGGCUCCGAGAAGAUAUUUUAAUUAUCGUCCGCACGAUCUUUCUUGCUUUAUGGUCCAAUUACUAAAUCCGCCCGCGACACGGCUCCACGCUCUUUGAAAAUUACGCCCCUGUUCUCUUCUCUGGUCCGAAGACUCUUCCCAUUCGUGUGGGCAUGGAUCACGCGGGGGUUGGAGAUGAUGUUUGUAUUUGGUACGCUUUAUGUUUUCUUAAGUUUCUCGUAGAAGAGAAGGAAGCGAACGACGACAGAAUGUUUGUUUAGGGUAAUGCAAUUGUUUAAAAAGAAGUGUAACGUACGUAUAAGCUUGACGCAGCGUCAUUCAGAUUCAGCGAGUGAGAAGCUUGCGGCACUGAUUCUCCGACUGCUUGAUCUAUUUUGGCCAUUUUUCAUACAGCGUAAUAGCGCCGAUAAAUCAAAUUAAACAUGAUGUUAGUGUGGAGAGCGCGUGCGCCUCGCACGGUCCAGGGCCCUCUAAAUCAUUGGUAGGCAUAACGCAUUGGGAGGAUCAAAGGAGCGCGAGCACUCGCGGCCGUCUUCCUUUUUAUUUCUAUCAUUACCGGCUAUAAUUACACUUAAGCUCAGUCUAUUUACCUUCUCAAAAUUGUACCUCUAAUCGAAAGCGUCCGCAAUUUUCACUGUUUUCAAUAAUCAUUUUU